GGGAUACCGAAAUUCAAUUUUGUACAUACGGGAUAUAUAUACCAUGAAUCAAUGCUUUGUGACGUCAGUUACAGCAUGGCUUCGAGCAACGGAACAUCUAAAAAAAUGGAUGAAAAUCACGCCAAAAUUCUUUAUUUUCUGCCAAAAUAAAAAAAAAGAAGUCAAUUAAACGCUUUAGAAAUUGCGACGAGACCAUAAUGGACGUUUUGUUAAAUGUUGGGCCAAAUUGGAAGAGGAAUGAUGAAGAAAUUAUUGAGAAAUUUCAAAGUUAAAUCAUGCUGGUCAAAGACAAAAUGGCGGACGUCUUCUUGUCCAAUCAAGAAAAUGGAACGGAACUGCUUCAAUGGUGUUGAAAGUCAACAAUAUGUUAUAUGUGAUACCCUGUAAGUUAUUAUACAAUUACUCUUAAUGUAUAAAGCUAUUAUGUUUUACUUAUUUUACUUUUUACUAACUCAUUUAAUAUUUUGUCCUUUUAUUUCUCUAAAAAUGUUACCUAAAAAUUCGUUCAUUGCAUACAUUUCAAUACCACAACAAGAUGAUUAUUAUCAAAUGAUACAAUAGUCAUGUUCCAUUGCAAAUCUUCAAUAACCCUGUGAGAUAAAAGAUCGCCACACCCCUGAAACAAUUUACAGGUACCCCCCCCCCACCCUGCUGCAAAGCACAGCCUUAAUUUACCUGAAAACUGUCGCUAUUUUAUUUGAUAUAUCUAAAAAUUAAUCAGCUAUUUUUUAAUUCCCUUUAGUGAAUCUACAAAGCCAAGAUAAACCGUGGCCAAAAAAACCGAACAGCAGAAGAUGGUGAGUUGUUUUUUUUUUCUCUGGUAAAUUAAAUAUACACGAUAUAUUGCAGGUGACUUUAGAAGUUGACGGAUAAAAAAUUAACUCCUCCUAAAACUUUCGUCGCCAUGGCGAUCAUGACGUUUCAAUAUGGCGCAUAUUUUGGCUCAAGCUGUCUCCUUACUGGGGGUUUUUUUGGCAGCUGGAAAAUUUACGAUUUUGGGUAGAUUUUUUAACAAUUUUUACUUGUUCAAUCGGAAAUUUUCAUAGAUAUCUUAUAUACACUAGAUAGCGCAUCUCAUUUAGUAAAAUUGAAGCCAAGAAUAUUACAGCGGUUACCCCCAUUUGAAUAGAUGGUAGUGAUGGGCGAUACCAGCUUUUUUGGUUUCGAUACGAUACCAGUCCGAUACCAUGAAUUUUGGUCGAUACCGAUACCAAAAUCGAUACCGAUACUCAAUUUUUUCCAUUUAUUAAAAUAACUUUUAAAACACAAACAUUAAUGUUUAAAACAAGUCAAAGAAUACUCUAACUGGAGUACCUGCCAAAUAAUCGAACAUAACAUUUGCAAUUAUGAUUUUAAAUCAAAACAACAAUGUUUUCCUCAAAUAUACUGCUAAUUAGCUACAUGUUUUUGUUUAAGAACAGCAGCAUGUCAACAUUUUUUGCCUUCAGGGGCCUUCAGUCUGUUGCCUUCAUGAAGCAUUAAGUGAUUGGUCAGGAAUACUGACCAAAAACAUCGCAGGCUCAAGUGGUAUCGAAUUACCGAUACUUUUUGCGAGUAUCGAAAGUAUCGAUACUUUUGUAAGUAUCGAUGAUUUCGAUACUUUUUCGAUCGUAUCGCCCAUCACUAAUAGAUGGCGGCCAUGUUGGUCGUUCCCACUUGCUAAUAAACGCUUAAAAACAACAAUAACUUUCACUAUUUGAAUAGUUUAAAAACGUAUUUGGAAUAGGGUUAACUUAAUGUUUAAGUUCCCUGUUUAAGAAAUAGAAAACAUACGAAUCUUCUCAUUUCAUGGGAACGACCUGAGACUGCAAUCACGGCUUCAAUUUUUGAAUUGCAGAAUAAUUAGAUGCACUAUCUAGUGUAUAUAAGAUAUCUAUGGAAAUAGUAUCUGAGCUAUGGAAAAUACUACCUGAAGAAUAUGAAAUGUUUGUUAAAAUUGACGUCAGUGCUGUUGCUAUGGUAGCCAUGACGUUUUAAUAUGACCGGUUUUCUUUGGCUUUAAACUAAUUUAAUUCUAAAAAUAGAACGGUGACUCCACUUUUUAUCUUGUUAAUCGUUCGAUUAGUGAAAAUAAUUAUUUAACCAACUUCAAAAAAAAAUUGCCAUUGUAGAUUUCUUAAAAUUUAAAACGUAUUUUUUGCGAUUAAAAAAAUUCUAGACUGGCGAGCUUUUUAAAAAGAUGUCUAAUUAAUUAUUUUCAGGAAUUGAGAACGUUUUAACGUUUUAAUGAAACGUCAUGGUUACCAUAACAACGACAAUGACGUCAUUUUUGGUAAAAAAUUUAUGCUAUUCAGAUAGUAUUUUCUAUAGCUCAGAUACUAGCAUAGGCAACGCAGAAAAUAUAUGUAUUUUACUUAAAAACGCCUUAAAAUUAGAAAUAACUUUCUGACUUUGCUAUUAGUGCUUUAUUGUAUGGCUCAUUAUGUAUGCAGACUCGUAUGAUAGUCAUUGUAUCGUUAUACAGGGUGUAUAAAAAAAACUGAACAGAUUUAAAAUUGCUCUCAAUUUCGCAAAACAGCUAUUUGUAUCUGGUUUUUUAUAUAUAUAGCUUCUUUGGGUACUUAUAAUGUAAAAUAAUGAAAAAAAUUUCUCGAACUCAAAUUUUGUUAACCAGGGGGUGUGUCUUUUCCAACAAACUAAAAAUGGCUCGCGCACAAAAUUUAAAAGCUGCAAUCAUAUUUUGAGUUAACAGAUGGAAAAUUUGUAGGGAUUUUAAUUACUGUACAAAAUUUCAGACAAUUUGGUUUAGUUUAAGCCCCUUAACUAUUCACGCAAAGUUACAAUUUUCCCGAAAAAUCAGCUAUUUGCAUGCUUAAUUAAUGCAUUUGCCUAAUUUGCAUAUGUCAGAAAUAUGCAAAUUAGGUAAACGCAUUAAUUAAGCAUGCGAAAGGCUGACUUUUUAGAACAAAAUGAAUAGUUAAAGGACUUAAACUAAACCAAAUUGUAUGAAAUUUUGUACAGUAAUUAAAAACCCGACCAAUUUUCAAUCUAUUAACUCAAAAUAUGAUUACAGCUUUUGAAUUUUGUGCGCGAGCCAUUUUUAGUUUGUUGGAAAGGGCACCCCCCCCCCCCCUGGUUCACAAAAUUUGAGUUCGAGAAAUUUUUUUCAUUAUUUUACAUUUUAAGUACCCAAAGAACCUAUAUAUAUAAAAAACCAGCUACAAAUAGGUGUUUUGCGAAAUUGAGAGCAAUUUCAAAUCUGUUCAGUUUUUUUUUAUACACCCUGUAUAGUAUAAUAUCCUAAGGCUUUAGGAUAUUCCACUAUAUCACAAUCCAUGGCGUAAUCAUGCAAGUUCGCAUAUAUAAAGAGCUACACAAUAAAGCGCCAGAUAGCAAAGUCAGGCGAACUUUAUGCGCAUUUGUAAAUGUUUUUAACGCAUUUUUAAGUGAAUACAUAUAUUUGCUGGUUUGCCUAUGAUACUAGUUGCCUUUCAACAAGUAACAAUUGUUCAAAAAGUCUGCCCUACAUCGUAAAAUUUCCUCUUGCCUUUUCUUGUUAAAUUUUUUCCUAAAAUUUUUAUUGCAUAUUUGUUGGUAGAGUGAUAUGAAGGCAACAAUUGGACGACGCAAUCAAAGCGAGAGCAGAGAAGAACAACCGAACAAGCCAAUGAGAAUGUGGUAGAACACGUCCUCAGAAUGCAUGACGACCAAAAGAAGCCACAACUAUCCAAAGAUGAUAGCAAAUGUACGGUUUGUCACUGUUAUUUAUGUUCUAUACAAUUAAGAGAAUUCUGUUUAUUUUUUAUGUAUUACUCAUUACGUAUGCCACGGCAUUUUAUUUUCACACGGAUUUAGCACAUUAAGUUUAGUAUUAUUUGACUUAAAAUAUCUAUAAGUCAAAUUUAGCGUUCAAAUCAUUUGUAAGUCCUGUUGUUGCGCUUGUUAACCGAAUUGUUUCCAUUUUUUAUGGUGGUGCACUGUCAAUUGAGCGGACCAUGAUGGAUCAUCGCCAGAAAUAAAGAACCGCGACCAACAAAACAGAAGCAACGACGAUGCACAGAUACAGUGAAUGUAAGUUUUGCUGGCGUAUACGUAAUUUAAGCAAUAAUGUAAAUAUUUUUGUCCUAGGCGACGAGACAAUAACUUGUAUUGAUCGCCACACCCUAUUCUUCUUACUCAGCCGUAACGGCACACGCGAAAUAUUGUAGGCGAAUAUAGUUGCGGAAACUGAUAUCACCACCUUCUGUAGCUGGAAAUCUCCAUAGAUAUCUUAUAUACACUAGAUAGCGCAUCUCUUUUAGUAAAAUUGAAGCCAAAAAGAUUCCAUGGGUUACCCCAAUUUGAAUAGAUGGCGGCCAUGUUGGUCGUUCCCACUUGCUAAUAAACGCUUAAAAACAACAAUAACUUUCAUCAUUUGAAUAGUUUAAAAACGUAUUUGGAAUAGGGUUAACUUAAUGUUUAAGUUCCCUGUUUAAGAAAUAGAAAACAUGCGAAUCUUCUCAUUUCAUGGGAACGACCUGAGACUGCAAUCACGGCUUCAAUUUUUGAAUUACAGAAUAAUUAGAUGCACUAUCUAGUGUAUAUAAGAUAUGUAUGGAAAUCUCAAUUAUGUAAUCUUCUUUGCCUUAAAUUUCACACAAUAUAUAGCUUGAUUGAAAAUUCGUGUUUAAAAAAUUUAUUGUUACGGCUUUGUUACACAGUUAUUGAGCUAUCAUUCGAAGGCUUUCAGAAAUUAUUGAGGGGGGAGGGGCUGACCCCUGGUGUCCGCCACUUGAGUUCUGUGCGAUAUGCUACACCCUGACUUUUAUGUACUAAAAACUUAAAGACAUUUUAGCAUUCCUAUCUUUAAAAGUAUAUUAAGUAAAUGUUUCCUGUAAUAAGUGAGGUGAAAUAUUCAAUCUAUUUUGUUACUAAAGGUUGUUAUAUGGUGUGAAGAGGAAUCCAGCGAGAGUGCCCAAGAUGGAACGACCAGCAGAGGAAGACCUACAACCAACAGAUCCUAAAACAUCGUCCAGACGAGAGUAAAACGUAAGUUUUCAAGGUAAGAGAAAAUAAAAAAUGAUUCCAUCAAAAAUGUGUUUCGUGUCUGGAAGUGACCAUGAAUUUGCUUCUGUAUAAUUUUCUCAUGUAUAUAUUAUUAAAUUCUUAUUAACCGAACGCGAGCUCUGUGCAGAGAAAUAUUAGACUCAGGCCUUCUUUGUACAGACCGAGCCGGGAGGACGAGGUUUGUACAAAAAGACCGAGAUCCGAUAUUUCUCUGUGCAUACCGAGCAAGCGAGGUUAAUAAAAAGUUUAUUAUAUGGCAUUUAUUGGCAUUUAUACUUGAAGAAAAACAAGAAAGUCAUGAUUUGAAAUGCAUAUUAGUAGCGUGGUACACAUUUGGUCGAAGAAAACAAAAAUGCCAAUAUAUUCCUUCCUUUCCACUAAAAACCACUCGCAGAUUUCCUAUUAAUAACAAAUUAAAUUACAAUUUCAAAUUUUCAAUUAGUUUUGCUGUUUUGUUUUAAAAUGCACGCGCAGUGGCGGAAAUUCACUUUUCCGGUGGGGGGGGGGUGGUGUGGGCAAAGCAUCCCAAAUUUGCGACAAAACUUUCAAAUUUCCGACAUACCCCCCCCCCCAUUUGCACUCGAAAAGACUGUUUUUAGCCCUCUUUUAGACCAAAAUUUCCGAAAAUUCGUCAAUUUUCCGGAAGGUGGGGGGGGGGGGCGGGGGCGGCCGCCCCACCAAGAUUUCCGCCACUGUGCACGCGUUUGUGUUUACGUAAUGGAUCGCCGGUCCGUUACAUUACGGGAAAAUAAUCGACCGCUGAAAGCAUUCUCAGCCAAUCACAGUGCGCCAUUUCAGCGGAAAUGAUGCUUGCCAUAUAAUAAUAAUAAGUAAUAAUACGGUCUCGAGAGUGCAAUUUGGAGAACAUACACUCGUGAUUUUUCCAAAGUUUUCAAAUCGCACUCGUACUUCAGACUCGUGCAAUAUACUUUUGCAUGUUGUUUUCAAAUUGCACUCGGAACGGCACAAAUGCCCAUACCAACAACUAUAAUUUCAAAAAUGAAAUGUUACGUUUACCCUGCCCAGAUCAGGCCUUCCAUCUGGUCACCGCGCCAAUUUUGAUGCGUGCGCAAACAAAAUUUCUCCUUUUUUGUUGUUUCAAAAAGAAGUAAUGGGUUACCGCAUGAUGGCAACACAAAUUCGUCCUACACCCUGCCGCCUCACUGGAUAUUGCCCUACAACAUGGUUGCCGUAACGUCACAUGCUCCAUCAGCCUAUACACCUUGACUUUCUAUUUUUAAUUUGGGCGCUUUUACACGAGAAGACUGGGAGCCACGCGCUUUGAGGGCGGGGUGGAGGAUGGGCGAAAGCAUGCGACGUCAUACUUAGCAAAUGCUAGCCUUAAAUUGACCAAAACCUGCCAAAACCAGUCGAAUAAAGGGUCUAGGGUCGACAUUAUUAAUUAUAUUUAACAGUUAUUCUACGAACUCGAGUCGAAUAUGAGCUAAUAGCCAAUGAGGCACGUAGCGCCGAAUCGCCUAUUGCUCAUAUUCGACGAGAGUGAGUCGAAUAACUGUUUUAUUAUAAACACAAGGUCUAAAUUCACAGAUUUCGUUUUUCGGAUAUUUUCAAUGUUUUUCUAUUUUGUUUAUGUAUUUAUCUUCGCUCUUUCGGCCGAUUAUUUAUUCAAAAAUAUAUAUUUUUAGCCAUUUUAAGAAUUCAUUUGCCAACCUGUAAACAAUUUGUGGGAGUUCUUUAUUGUGUUUUUAAUCGUGUAAAGGCUAUAUCAAAAGGGAACAAAUUGCCGUUUUCUCGUUCGCGAAACGUCGGAAAUUCAGUUUGAGCCGCCAUUUUGUUUUUCUCUACUAGCAGGAUAUGGACUAGUAAUAUCCUGCUGCAAGUAGAGAACCAAUAAGAUUGCAGAAUACCUCAUAUCCAGACCUUGUGUAUAUAAUAAAACAGUUAUUGCACUCACUCUCGUCGAAUAUGAGCGAUAGCCAAUUCGGCACUAUCAGCCCAUAUUCGACUCGAGUUCGUAGAAUAACUGUUAAAUAUUUCAUGUUUCAAAUGAUCAAUUAAUAUUACCACGCAAUUCGAAAUUGUUGAUUAUGGGAUAAUAAUGCCGUUGAAUUGGGGCCGAAGCCCUUAAUAUUGGAGGACUGCAUGAAUAUCUGUUAAAAAAAUCCUGACAAUUUACAUAUAGAUAUUAUUCAUUAAGUUCCUUUUCUACCAAAUACCUUUAAUUAACAUGAUUCGAUCAUAUUUCAUGGACUCAUGGAUACUUUUUAAUUUCCAGCAAAAGGUGAUGUGAUGAAAUGUUGAUGUGUUGAAAAGAGACGAUGAAAAGUCCAAAAUUCAAAAAGAGCCACUCACAAAUGGCAUGGAGACAGGAAAAGAAUCACGAUUCGCAACAAUCGGAAAAUAAUAGGAAAGUAGCGAAAAAUGUUACCAAUGUAAGUUAGUUAAAGACAGAAUACUUAUUUAAAAAUCAAAGGGGAUUCAAGUGAAUACAAUGAUUUUCUCAUUAAAAUUUAUAAGCAUGCUACGAGUUUGCCGAUUUUUUUCGACUUUGUUUUCCAGUUUUGGACUAUAGAAAUAAUUGCCCUCCAAAUCAGAUAAAACGUUUGAAUAAAGCUUUCAAAAACACGAUAACGCAAUGUUUUUGCGACGAGCUAGAGUCUGUAUGGUAACGUAUCAUUUCAU